rnacentral:misc_RNA from 1 species
GAUGAAGAACGUAGCGAAAUGCGAUACGUAAUGUGAAUUGCAGUAUUCAGUGAAUCAUCGAAUCUUUGAACGCAUAUUGCGCUCUCUGGUAUUCCGGAGAGCAUGCUUGUUUGAGUAUCAGUAAACACCUCAACUUCCAUAUCUUUUUUGAAAUGGGAGUUGGACUUGAGUGAUCCCAACGCUUUUCCUCACCGAAAAGUGGCGGGUUACUUGAAAUGCAGGAGCAGCUGGACUUUUCUCUGAGCUAUAAGCAUAUCUAUUUAGUCUGCCUAAAAAACAGAUUAUUACCUUUGCUGCAGCUAACAUAAAGGAGAUUAGUUCUUGUGCUGACUGAUGCAGGAUUCACAAAGACGGCUUCGGCCGACUUUGUAAACUCGAUCUCAAAUCAAGUAAGACUACCCGCUGAACUUAAGCAUAUCAAUAAGCGGAGGA